AUACGUAUGGUGCGAACGUUGUUCGGAAUCACUGGGCCUAAAGAGCGCGUAGGCGGUUUGGCAAGUCAGGUGUGAAAUCCCUCGGCUCAACCGAGGAACUGCAUCUGAUACUGCCAGACUAGAGUGCAGGAGGGGAGAGUGGAAUUCCUGGUGGAGCGGUGAAAUGCGUAGAUAUCAGGAGGAACGCCGGUGGCGAAAGCGAUUCUCUGGCCUGCUACUGACGCUGAGGCGCGAAAGCUAGGGGAGCAAACGGGAUUAGAAACCCCAGUAGUCC
rnacentral:rRNA from 1 species